AUAUAUUUUAAUAGCUUAGCUAUUCCUAUAUACAUAUAUCUUUUAUCCCUAUGUUUUUGUAACUGUUAUAUGUACUCUAAAAUGAAGAAUAUUUACUCCAACUUCACUACCCUUGUCACAUUCUCUUAUGCUUCUCAUGAACUUAAGGCCAAAUGAAUAGGAAAUCUCCAUAUUAUUAGUAAGUUCAUUUCAAAUCAUUGUAAGAAGGUGACUUUUCCCCAUGUGAACCUAAUCUCCAUCCGAACCAUGUGAACCCAAUCUCCAUGUGAACCCAGUCUCCAUGUGAAUCUAAUCCCCAUGUGAGCCAUGUGAACCUAACCAAGGUAGGACAUGACUCCCCCUGUGGGAACUUGGCCAUUCCCUAACCCAUAAGAACAGGUGUUUUAGCUCCUUCUCCCAUGAGAACUUGACCAUUUUUUAACCUAUAAGCUGGGAACGUACUACAUGUGUUUUAGCUCCAACUACAUGAUUCCAGGAAUUCACCACUCCUUGGAACCGUUGCUGUUGAUAAGGACUGGCCCCCUUGUUGAUGCAACACUUGACUAUAACCACCUGGAGCUCUUGUUGGUACUUCCUUGUCUUAUAUGAUGUCUUUAUUUGGCUCAAAGCCUUCUUUAUCCUGAUUCCUAUAAAAGGCAGGUAAAGCAUCCUCUAUUCGGAGCUUCAACCAUGGAGAUAUUCAUCUGCCUGGGACCUACUUUUCCCGAUCGAGUUGAAGGCUGGAGAAUGGGGCUACCAGCCACUCUAGCAUUCCCUCGAAUUGGUGGAAGCAAAAUGUGGAAACUUUUACAAAUGGCGCCCAAACAGGGACACAAGAAACAAAGAAGCAGCAGUGACCUGUUCAUGACUAGGCUCCUCCUAGGAGAGUUCCUUUGGUGACCCAUGGGGAAGGAAAGAGAGAAGAGACCUGUUUUUAAUGGGUGAAAAGGACUUGCUGCCUGAAACUGCCUUCAGUAAAAUUUUGGCGACUACAGUAUGUGACAAUGGAAUACUUGGUGUUCUCUGUGGUGAAAUCACCUUCAGUGUGACUGGGUUUGAUUCAAAGAACUUAAACAUGAGUCGAAUUGAUGUAUAUGUGGCACAUUUCCAGGGGGGACAUCUGCCCAAAACUUACUCCACUAUUUACAGAGUUUUUAUGAAAGUCGACCAAUACUACGAGCUUUUGAUUGGGGGAGUGCCAAAGAGAACUUUGAUCAUUAUAAUCAGACAUUUCCUCCCAAGUACAACGUCUCAGAGAUGAAAGUGCCAACUGCAUUGUGGAGUGGUGGAAAUAAUUUUGUGGGCAAUCCAGAAGAUGUCUCCGAAUUAAUUCCCCAAAUCCGCAGCAAAAUUUUGCACAAGACUCUGCCUAACUACAAUCAUUUGGAUUUUGUUUUUGGUAUUGAUGCACCCCAAGAAAUUUACUAUGAAAUAAUUAAGAUGAUAAAGAAUACCCUGUAAAGAUGGUAUUGGUGGUGAAACGACUUUCCCUUUUCUUAGAGUUGGUUUGAAGUUAUUUUCUCUUCUAUAUCAUGGCUCUUAAAAGCUUAGUGGGA